rnacentral:tmRNA from 1 species
GGGGCUGACUGGUUUUGACAGCAAGCCGGGCAGGUAUGCAAGCAUGCCGAGCAACGCAUAUAAGCUCGUAAAACUUUUUGUGCAAACUAUUAAACGGCGAGAAUAACUACGCGCUUGCAGCAUAGUCUUAAGAAGAUCUAUGCAUAAUCUGCGGUCAAGGAUCGCAGACAGGCUGUCUCUCAAAAACCACGCCCAACGGUUUUUGGUUAAGAGGCACCGGUAAGAUUGGGCUGGCCUGGGGAUAUUCCCGCACCCCGGGUGAGAAUUCAAGGGAAUAAGGUAUGGAUAGGUUGUCUGUUGCCGGUCCGCUACCCGACAAUAAAUAACAGACUAAGCAUGUAGAAACCAUAUCGGUUCCUUGUUUGGACGAGGGUUCGAUUCCCUCCAGCUCCACAA